GAUGAACGCUGGCGGCGUGCCUAAUACAUGCAAGUCGAGCGGACAGAUGAGUAGCUUGCUCCUCUGACGUUAGCGGCGGACGGGUGAGUAACACGUGGAUAACCUACCUAUAAGACUGGGAUAACUUCGGGAAACCGGAGCUAAUACCGGAUAAUAUAUUGAACCGCAUGGUUCCAUAGUGAAAGACGGUUUUGCUGUCACUUAUAGAUGGAUCCGCGCCGCAUUAGCUAGUUGGUAAGGUAACGGCUUACCAAGGCAACGAUGCGUAGCCGACCUGAGAGGGUGAUCGGCCACACUGGAACUGAGACACGGUCCAGACUCCUACGGGAGGCAGCAGUAGGGAAUCUUCCGCAAUGGGCGAAAGCCUGACGGAGCAACGCCGCGUGAGUGAUGAAGGUCUUCGGAUCGUAAAACUCUGUUAUUAGGGAAGAACAAAUGUGUAAGUAACUAUGCACGUCUUGACGGUACCUAAUCAGAAAGCCACGGCUAACUACGUG
rnacentral:rRNA from 1 species